rnacentral:SRP_RNA from 14 species
CCUGUAACCUUUGGAGGCUACGAGCGGGAGGACGUACCAGUGGUCCCAGUUCGUCUCGACGGCUGCAUGCCGAUGGCCUCGCCCCAAUAACGCGGUAGUCAGCUGCGCUGGGCUCCGCGGAAGCGGAGACUGGCCAGCUGUUGAAUAAGUGAAACCGGGCCAGGCUGGCAACAGAGCAGCCUCACACAAUGCUAUCGCGGGUAGAGGGAACACGAACCAGAAU